CCUACGGGUGACAGCAGUGAGGAAUAUUGGUCAAUGGCCGGAAGGCUGAACCAGCCAAGCCGCGUGAGGGAGGACGGCGCAGUGCGUCGUAGACCUCUUUUGUCGGAGGACAAAACGCGGGACUUGUCCGGUCCUGCGGGUAUCCGGAGAAAAAGCAUCGGCUAACUCCGUGCCAGCAGCCGCGGUAAUACGGAGGAUGCGAGCGUUAUCCGGAUUUAUUGGGUUUAAAGGGUGCGUAGGCGGGCCGUUAAGUCAGCGGUGAAAUUGCGGGGCUCAACCCCGUCGAGCCGUUGAAACUGGGAGACUUGAGUGCGCGAGAGGCAGGCGGAAUGUGCGGUGUAGCGGUGAAAUGCAUAGAUAUCGCGCAGAACCCCGAUUGCGAAGGCAGCGUACCGUGGCGCGACUGACGCUGAGGCACGAAAGCGCGGGGAUCGAACAGGAUUAGAUACCCCUGUAGUC
rnacentral:rRNA from 1 species